UUCCCUAAUUGCUACAACUUCCGCUUCCCUUAGUGUGAAUGUUCCACUCCAAGAAACACUCUUGGCAGCUAUGAAAUCUCCCUUGUCAUCUCUCAAGACAUAUCCAAACCCCAUUCUCCCAUUUUGCGUAUUAAUCGUCGCAUCAACGUUUAACUUGAUAAAAUUA